rnacentral:lncRNA from 1 species
CGAUCCAUGUAAAUCUACUGAAGAUAUGCGUAGAGAGAGUUAAUGAUUCCAAUCUCUAUAAAACUUCGUUCUUUGCAAUCUCUGAAUAAAAUAAUAUAUUAAAAUCUUAUUUGAGAGAUUACAUUCCCGGCAUCAAGCUUCUAACCUAUUAGAUAGCAACUACAAAAUACAUUUCAACUAUAGGAUUUGACAAGAACAAGGUAUACUACAUCGUCAAUGGAGUAUAUUGGACACCAAGAAUGAAAAUCUGGAAACUCCCUCAAGACGCAUCACUUGUUCAAUAAGCAACUUGAU